GAACUAGCUCAGUUGGUAGAGCAUAAUACUCUUAAUCUCAGGGUUAUGGUUUCAAAUCCCAUGUUGGGCA
rnacentral:tRNA from 1 species